rnacentral:lncRNA from 1 species
GGCCCGAAUUAGUGGUGUUACACCUAUAACAGAACCAAACUUGCUAUAUUGACUUGAGCAUUACUUUAUUUCAUUCUAUGACCUAUUUCAAGCAAUAAAAAAAACAUAAAGCUUUAGUCCAAAUAGUAUUUUACUAGUUUAAAGCUCAAAUUGGACUGGUAGUAAUAUUUGGGUUAUUCAAAGAAAACUGCAUAUGGAUAUUAGAUUUUGGUCAAUAUACUUUUUUAUUCUCAAUAUCAUUGUUUUAUCUAUUAAUAUCUUUUAGGAAGGCUAUGUGCUUACCAAUAGUCAUAUUCUUAUCAGAAGUUCUUCAUUAAAUAAAAAUAUAUUAGUCCAAAGUUCAGACAUAAUUGAGAAUAUUGUCCCCCCUUUUUUCUUUAAUUUGGAAAAAGGCAUUUUUUUUGUAUAAACCAUACUUAUGUGGUUAAACAUAGAUUAUUAAGAGCAAUUUAUAUAUCCCUCAGCUAGA